rnacentral:rRNA from 1 species
CCCUUAGAUGUUCUGGGCUGCACGCGCGCUACACUGAAGCUAUCAACACGUUUUCCCUCCCUGAGAAGGGCGGGUAACCUUUUGAAUCAGCUUCGUGGUAGGGAUCGGGGCUUGCAAUUGUUCCCCGUGAACCAGGAAUUCCUAGUAGACGCGAGUCAUAAGCUCGCAUCGAUUAAGUCCCUGCCCUUUGUACACACCGCCCGUCGCUACUACCGAUUGAACGUUUUAGUGAGGCAUUUGGACCGACGCAUCCCAGUUUAACCGCUGGUUUGUGUUGGAAAGACUUCCAAACUUGAGCGUUUAGAGGAAGUAAAAGUCGUAAC